GGGGGUGCAUCGGGCCUGGUGGCCUGCCUGGACUUCAAAUCCAGCUGGCGCGCGGGUCAAACCCGGGCGCGGUGGGUUCGAUUCCCACACACUCCCGCCA
rnacentral:tRNA from 1 species